rnacentral:rRNA from 1 species
GUCGUGACUGCGUGCCUUUUGAAGAAUGAGCCUGCGAGUUUGCGGUAUGUUGCGAGGUUAACCCGUGUGGGGAAGCCGUAGCGAAAGCGAGUCCGAAGAGGGCGAUAUAGUAGCGUGCCCAAGACCCGAAGCGGAGUGAUCUAGCCAUGGGCAGGUUGAAGCGGAGGUAAGACUUCGUGGAGGACCGAACCCACCAGGGUUGAAAACCUGGGGGAUGACCUGUGGUUAGGGGUGAAAGGCCAAUCAAACUCCGUGAUAGCUGGUUCUCCCCGAAAUGCAUUUAGGUGCAGCGUCGUGUGUUUCUUGCCGGAGGUAGAGCACUGGAUAGGCGAUGGGCCCUACCGGGUUACUGACCUUAGCCAAACUCCGAAUGCCGGUAAGUGAGAGCGCGGCAGUGAGACUGUGGGGGAUAAGCUCCAUGGUCGAGAGGGAAACAGCCCAGAGCAUCGACUAAGGCCCCUAAGCGUGUGCUAAGUGGGAAAGGAUGUGGAGUCGCAGAGACAACCAGGAGGUUGGCUUAGAAGCAGCCAUCCUUGAAAGAGUGCGUAAUAGCUCACUGGUCAAGUGAUUCCGCGCCGACAAUGUAGCGGGGCUCAAGCACACCGCCGAAGUCAUGUCAUUGCAGUAUGUACUCCUAACGGGGACUGUGAUGGGUAGGGGAGCGUCGUGUGCCGGGUGAAGCAGCGCCGGAAGGUAGUUGUGGACGGUUCACGAGUGAGAAUGCAGGCAUGAGUAGCGAUACACACGUGGGAAACGUGUGCGCCGAUUGACUAAGGGUUCCUGGGUCAAGCUGAUCUGCCCAGGGUAAGUCGGGACCUAAGGCGAGGCCGACAGGCGUAGUCGAUGGACAACCGGUUGAUAUUCCGGUACCCGCUUUGAAGCGCCAAACAUCGAAUCCUCUGAUGCUAAGGCCGUGAAGCCGCCCUGGAGUCUUCGGACAAAGGGGAGUGGUGGAGCCGCUGAUCCAAGGUGGUAGUAGGUGAGUGAUGGGGUGACGCAGGAAGGUAGUCCAGCCCGGGCGGUGGUUGUCCCGGGGUAAGGGUGUAGGACGCACGGUAGGCAAAUCCGUCGUGCAUGAAGUCUGAGACCUGAUGCCGAGCCGAUUGUGGUGAAGUGGAUGAUCCUAUGCUGUCGAGAAAAGCCUCUAGCGAGUUUCAUGGCGGCCCGUACCCUAAACCGACUCAGGUGGUCAGGUAGAGAAUACCGAGGCGUUCGGGUGAACUAUGGUUAAGGAACUCGGCAAAAUGCCCCCGUAACUUCGGGAGAAGGGGGGCCACGGCUGGUGAUNNNNNNNNNUGAGCUGGUGGUGGCCGCAGAGACCAGCGAGAAGCGACUGUUUACUAAAAACACAGGUCCGUGCGAAGCCGUAAGGCGAUGUAUACGGACUGACGCCUGCCCGGUGCUGGAACGUUAAGGGGACCGGUUAGCUCCAUUUCGGUGGGGCGAAGCUGAGAACUUAAGCGCCAGUAAACGGCGGUGGUAACUAUAACCAUCCUAAGGUAGCGAAAUUCCUUGUCGGGUAAGUUCCGACCUGCACGAAUGGCGUAACGACUUCUCGACUGUCUCAACCAUAGGCCCGGUGAAAUUGCACUACGAGUAAAGAUGCUCGUUUCGCGCAGCAGGACGGAAAGACCCCGGGACCUUUACUAUAGCUUGAUAUUGGUGUUUGGUUCGGCUUGUGUAGGAUAGGUGGGAGACUGUGAAGCCGUGACGCCAGUCAUGGUGGAGUCGUUGUUGAAAUACCACUCUGGUCGUGCUGGAUGUCUAACCUGGGUCCGUGAUCCGGAUCAGGGACAGUGUCUGGUGGGUAGUUUAACUGGGGCGGUUGCCUCCUAAAGGGUAACGGAGGCGCCCAAAGGUUCCCUCAGCCUGGUUGGCAAUCAGGUGUUGAGUGUAAGUGCACAAGGGAGCUUGACUGUGAGACUGACGGGUCGAGCAGGUACGAAAGUAGGGACUAGUGAUCCGGCGGUGGCUUGUGGAAGCGCCGUCGCUCAACGGAUAAAAGGUACCCCGGGGAUAACAGGCUGAUCUUCCCCAAGAGUCCAUAUCGACGGGAUGGUUUGGCACCUCGAUGUCGGCUCGUCGCAUCCUGGGGCUGGAGUCGGUCCCAAGGGUUGGGCUGUUCGCCCAUUAAAGCGGUACGCGAGCUGGGUUUAGAACGUCGUGAGACAGUUCGGUCCCUAUCCGCUGUGCGCGUAGGAGUCUUGAGAAGGGCUGUCCCUAGUACGAGAGGACCGGGACGGACGAACCUCUGGUGUGCCAGUUGUUCUGCCAAGGGCAUGGCUGGUUGGCUACGUUCGGAAAGGAUAACCGCUGAAAGCAUCUAAGCGGGAAGCCUGCUUCGAGAUGAGGGCUCCCUCCCACUUGAUGGGGUAAGGCUCCCAGUAGACGACUGGGUUGAUAGGCCAGAUAUGGAAG